CAAGUAACUGAACAAAUUUAUUCAUUUCUAACUAGAAAUUUACAUUAAUUACAUUUGUCUUUUAAGUGUUAAGUCAAAAUAAAAAUGUUGUUUAAAACUAUUUUCCAUAUAGUGAUUUUCUUCAUUGUCUUCGAUCUUAAUUAUAGUUAUUACCAAAAUUGUCCAAAAAAUAUGAAAAUUUUCACGGAAGAGGAUGAAUAUGAAUAUGAAGAAUUUUGUGAUUGUGAAGAUAAUCUAUUAUAUAAUCCUGCAGAUGGAAAUUGUUACGAUCCUUAUAGAGAAGGGCCUUGUUCGAUUGGAUAUUAUUUUGCACUUCUGCCUGGAGAAAUAAGUGCAAAAUGUAUAGAAAAUCCUUGUCGCAUUGAUGGUCUUGUUCCUUAUAAUGGACAAUGCUACAAUCUGUGGAGAUAUGGACACCCAUGUAGUAAUAAUAACACUUAUUUAGGAAUUAGUGAAAAUUUUCAAAUACAAUGUGAUAACUCGAAGUAUUUAGGAACAAUUGAUAAUCAGAAUUCUUCUAAAAUAUGUCCACAAAAUGCCUAUUUACAUUCGAGCCAUUACCCGUCAAACUAUCUCUGUCGGUGUAGAAAUAAUUUUAUAUUCUCAAAUGGUUCUUGCUAUGAACCUUAUAGGCAAGGUCCUUGUCAUCUAGGAAGUUACUUAAUAUUUACUCCAGGAGAAGGUCAUCCGAAAUGCGAAGCAAAUCCAUGUGAAUCAGAUGGUAUUGUUCCAUUUGAAGGUGGAUGUUAUAAAAUAAACAAAUACGGUCAUCCAUGUACUCCAUAUUUCUAUAAAUUAACUGUGACUAAAGGAACUUUUGAAUUAAAAUGCAUUUCUACUUCGUUGACCGAAUAUAAAAAGAUGAUAACUGCACCUGGUAAAAUUUGUCGACCUGGAAGUAAAAGAGUUCUUCUAUUAGGGUGUAAACAUGUUUUUCAAUAGAGUUCAACUUUUCUGUAAUCCUUAUAUGAAAUUAGUAGAUAUGCAAAUUAGGGCAUUACUGGUGUUCAAAACGUUCCAUUGCUGGGCCAAUGAUGGCGUCGAUGGUCAGAUUUUCAAAUUUUCUAAGACUGGGCCGGCUCUCAGCCCAAUAAUGUAGUGGAUACAGAACAGAAAUUUUCCAUUCAUUUUCUAUUUUUCGUCGUUUAAAGAUAAGUUAAUGAAUAUUGAGUUUUUUAUCAAACAAUCAGUGAACUGUAAGUUAUUUCCACAUAAUAAAUUAAUAUAUUUUUUACAAUUUAUAUAGAUAGAGCAAACAAAUAUUUUUAGUACAAAAGAC